rnacentral:rRNA from 1 species
GACGAACGCUGGCGGCGUGCUUAACACAUGCAAGUCGAGCGGUAAGGCCCUUUCGGGGGUACACGAGCGGCGAACGGGUGAGUAACACGUGGGUGACCUGCCCUCAGCUCUGGGAUAAGCCUGGGAAACCGGGUCUAAUACUGGAUAUGACUCCAUGACGCAUGUUGUGGGGUGGAAAGCCUUGUGCGGCUGAGGAUGGGCCCGCGGCCUAUCAGCUUGUUGGUGGGGUGANGGCCUACCAAAGGCGACGACGGGUAGCCGGCCUGAGAGGGCGACCGGCCACACUGGGACUGAGACACGGCCCAGACUCCUACGGGGAGGCAGGCAGUGGGGAAUCUUGCGCAAUGGGCAAAGCCUGACGCAGCGACGCCGNGUGAGGGAUGACGGCCUGGUGUAACUC